rnacentral:lncRNA from 1 species
UCUAUUAGCUAGCCGUUAUAUUCAGAAACACGUAUGUGUAAGCAUUCUGUGGCACUUUUUUACGAAUAUACACAGUCUUGUUAUUCUUCCGUAUUAAUGUGACUUUCAUAAGUAUAUUGUAAGAAACUAAAAUUUGGCAAGUGUCCCAGUAUAACAGGAAAUAUUGAGUGAAGGCGCUUCUGAUGAAUUGAGGAUUCUUCCAGUAAAAAGGAUGAGUGUAUGUCACAAGGCAUUUCAAAAUAGCUGUUGUUAACAGCCCAUCUCAAGGAAACAUCCAAGUCUUUUCCUUGUAAAUAAAGACAAGCCUUGUCACCUACAGAAUGAUUCAGUGCAGACAGAAGUGGAGACAGCAGUUUUUGAUAAAGCGGCAGUGAUUUCUUGUUGGUCUGGAAAUCGUAUCACAGACAAAGGUCACGUCUGGAACGAAUUAUACCACCUAUUUGCUAAUCACCAGCGAAUUUGUCCAAAUGUUCCCAGACCAGAAAACGAAAAAGAAAAGGAUUACUUAGCUUCUUUAUUUUACGAUGUGAAAUUUGUAAAAGGAAACUUACAGUUAUUAGUCACACAACAAAACCUAGAACAUCAAGAGAUAAAAUGAAGCAGCAACAUAGGGUUUUGUUAGUAUUGGUUCUGGACAUUCACAAAUGGACGAGACAUUUUCUAUGAUGGAAAUUUCUGCGAUGAGGCAGAAAACAUUUUUAAAGAAUGAAAAAAAAAAAAGAGAUAGCUGGAGCAAUACUCUUUAUCAAAAAAUGCUUGCAGCAGGUAGAGAAGAACGAGAAUUAGCAAUAAGAAAUAAAUAAUUUGAAACUGAUGGUACACAUUCCAUUGCAGUCAUUUUUGAUAAUGGGUGGAAUCAGAGAAGCUACGAACAUCGAUACAGUGCAAAAUAUGGCGUGGCUGUUAUUAUUGGAAAGGGGAUUAAAUAAUGCUUAUCAGUAACAAAUACUGCUGUAUCUGUGCAGGUAAUGAUAAAAAGAAUAUAAAGAACGAUCACUUAUGCAAUAAAACUGGGAUGAGUCAUCAACGUCAAUGGAAGCAGAUAUAAUAGUGGAGUGAUUUAAACAAAGUGAAGAAAUGCACGGGGUUCGAUUUCUUAGAUUAAUUGGAGAUUGCGAUUCUAAUGAGCAUAAAAGAAUUAUUGAAAAGGUAAAGUAUGAUUCUAAAGUUCAGUAAUUAGAAUGUGCCAAUCAUGCUGUGUGUUGCUACACCUAUUUUUGCACGAUAUUGCCAAAGAGAAUGCUGAAGGUGUCCGUGUCCCUUCAGCUUUUAGAAUAAAGCGACUAUCUGCUGCUGCAAGAAGAACAAUAACAUAUCAUUUUUCUCUACCGGAUUCAUGUUACAGACGUUUACAAUAAGAUCUCGGAAAUGGUCCUUAUCAUGUGAUUGGCUCACACAGUAAAUGCAGGGACCAAUACUGUAAGAAAGAGAACAUGGAUUAUGACAGUAACAUUAUUUCAUCCAUGUCCUGAGUUCUUUUGGUUAAACUAACAAAUACCGUUGAUCUUCUUGUUCAGAAAUCACCUCAACGUAUUGAGAACGAAACAAGCAACGUUGUUGAAACGCAUAUGAAUUGAAUAGAGAAGUUUGUUCGUGGCAAACAGUUUCAUCGUUCAAGGAGAAACUCGUAAAGAAAUAGAUUCCAAGGAGCUGGUUUGUAUUACCAACUAGGACCGAAUUGGCAUCAUGUAGUCUGGAAAUUCUUCAUGUUCAAAAGCCCAAAUAUUGUUUUAAAAAUAUAUAUCCAAUGCGCCACUAAAAGUAGAGAAAAAUGCAGGAGAUGGCUUUUAGCCCCAGAAGGAAAAACAUCUCGAAGGGGUUUAGAAAUGAAAAACAAUUCUAGAAUGUUCAGUUCAUUUUAUUAUAUGGAUUACGGGGAAUAUACUAAUUGGCCGGAUAAAGAACCAGAUUUAAUUGCUGAAUUAAAAAAAGAAAACUUAAACAGUUGCAAGUACCCACAUGACAACGGGAUAAACUGCAAAAAGAGACCAUUGGUAAACAUAAAAUUGUCAUUUGAAAACAGAAGAGAUACCAUUAACUGACAGUGAAAAAUCCUCUUUACAGUACCGAUAUCAAUACAUCAGCUAUGAAAAACGAAAAAUAAUGUUUCUGUAGAAAAGCGUAGGUUAUUUGUAGACUUGGAAUACGGAUUUCUUGGAACUAUUCCUAACAGACUUGUCAGACAAGACAGGAUUUUAGAAAUCAAGUGUCCCAAAACUGAACAGCACUUGACUCCUGAGGAAGCACCUGUAAAGAUCAAAGGUUUCUACUUCACUCUAGAGAAUGGCUGUCUUAUAUGAAGAAUAACCAUGAUUACUACUACCAAGUGUAAGGAGAACUAAAUAUUACUGGAAGAAAGUAUUGUGACUUUAUUGUAUGGACACCAUGUCUGCCAUCAAGAAACCUGAAAAAUAAGCUGGGGGUAUUGUGUGGAGGUCUAUGUAUAUACAAGAUAUUUUAUUAUGUAAAAUUAUUGACAAACAAACACUUAUAAAUUAAUUCACAUAAACAACCAAUGAUAGCUUGUAUUUAUUUAUUUAUUACAAAGAUUUGGGGGGUAGCAGUGUCUCUCAACUGGUGUCUAGGUGUUAUUGAAGUCUAGUGGUCACAGUGCAAUGCAGGUUGUUAAGGGAUUAUAUUUUCGUAGGCACACAAAAGCUGUGCUCUGUAGAUACUGCAGAUCCUAGGGCGAUUUAACACUUUCGCAAGGUCAUGAAACAGUACGAAUCGUUCAUUGGUCAGCAGUGAGCCUGGAGCCUAACUUUUGACACAAACAAUAUUUCAUCAUACAUGUAGUCAUUUGAUACAAUAUUAUAAUAUGCCAUGAAAUAUAAGCCACAAUAGCACUAGGCACUUAUUGUACGUGACAUGCAGAAGUUUAAUAAUGAAGUAAACAAAAAAAAAACAAAACAUUGAUAAUAACGAAAUGAGGAAAGGUCUGGAUGAACAAGUCUUGUUUUAUUCAUAACAAUAACAUAUCGAUGAAGUAAACAAGAAUUAAAAUUAUAAAGUAUUAAAAGACGAAAUAUAGCUGAUGCUUUUUAAAUCACCCUAACUUUGGCAGCACAUUGUACGCUGUGAAAUUUUGUAUAUUGGCUUAAUUAUUAAUUUUGUAUUUCACAUCAGAAUAAGAUCCUCGGUGAAACUAACAAAAAAAAAAGGAGUUAUUUUGUAAAAAGUUUCGGUCGAAACAAUACCACUGUUUCCAGUGGACGUAACGGUCGUCAUCUAAGUGUUGGGGAACCUUUACGAUUUAAGCGACCCAAAAUUAGAUAUUUACAUAAUAACCUUAAUAUGCUUUCAGCAAAAAAAGAAGAGGGAGAUUAUACACAAUAUUUUCAGUGUUUUUAGGUUUUGUUGUUUUAAAAACCAGUGAAAUAUGUACUAUUAUUUCAUUUCCAAGAGAUAACAAAAGGUCAUUUGGCUGAUCUAAGCUAUCCAAUUUUCCACUUCCAUCCUACUACAAAUUACAUAUAGAAAUCCCUCCCCUUUUUCCUACAUUCAACCCAAUAUCUAAAAUAUAUUCAUUCAAUUUAUUCUUAAAGUCCUCCAUUAUGCAGCUUCUACCACCUCUGAAGGCAAACUAUUCCCAGAAAUUGAUCACUCUAUUAGAAAAGUAACACUGCAUUAACUGGAGUGGUUUCUACAUCUUAAACUUGUGUCCUCUAAUCUUACUUUCUUCAUUUUUUAAAUGAAAAUGUCUCCUGGAUUUGUGGAUUCAAAACCUCUAAAAAUCUUAAAAACCUAAAUCAUGUUCUUCCUUAAAGUCCUUCUCCUCUACAGCAAAAAAUA